GAUGAACGCUGGCGGCGUGCCUAAUACAUGCAAGUCGAACGAACUAAUUUAUUAGCGAGUGGCGAACGGGUGAGUAAUACAUAAGUAACCUGCCCUAGACAGGGGGAUAACUACUGGAAACGGUAGCUAAAACCGCAUAGGUAUGGGAAUCGCAUGAUUGCCAUAUUAAAAGUGCUAAGGCACUGGUAGAGGAUGGAGUUAUGGCGCAUUAGCUAGUUGGAGAGGUAACGGCUCCCCAAGCCGACGAUCGGUAGCCGGACUGAGAGGUUGAACGGCCACAUUGGGACUGAGACACGGCCCAGACUCCUACGGGAGGCAGCAGUGGGGAAUAUUGCACAAUGGGCGCAAGCCUGAUGCAGCGACGCCGCGUGAGGGAAGACGGUCUUCGGAUUGUAAACCUCUGUCUUCGGUGACGAAACAAGACGGUAGCCGAGGAGGAAGCCACGGCUAACUACGUGCCAGCCGCCGCUGUAACAC
rnacentral:rRNA from 1 species